UCACGCCCUCGCUCUGGACGCUCCCGCCUGCGCCCUGCCCCACAGACCGGCAGACGCGAGUCUGCCUCCUUCUCAAGGUUGACCUCGGAUCAGGUAGGACUACCCGCUGAACUUAAGCAUAUCAAUAAGCGGAGGAAAANAAACCAACAGGGAUUGCCCCAGUAACGGCGAGUGAAGCGGCAACAGCUCAGAUUUGGAAUCUGGCCCCCAGGGCCCGAGUUGUAAUCUGGAGAGGAUGCUUCUGGCGCGGCGCCUUCCGAGUUCCCUGGAACGGGACGCCGGAGAGGGUGAGAGCCCCGUACGGUUGGACGCCUAGCCUUUGUGAAGCUCCUUCGACGAGUCGAGUAGUUUGGGAAUGCUGCUCAAAAUGGGAGGUAAAUUUCUUCUAAAGCUAAAUACCGGCCAGAGACCGAUAGCGCACAAGUAGAGUGAUCGAAAGAUGAAAAGCACUUUGAAAAGAGGGUCAAACAGUACGUGAAAUUGUUGAAAGGGAAGCGCCCGUGGCCAGACUUGUGCCCCGCGGACCACCCGGCGCCCUCAGCGCCGGUGCACUCCUCGGGGCGCAGGCCAGCAUCGGUUUUCCUAGGGGGAUAAAGGCGGCGGGAACGUGGCUCCCUCGGGAGUGUUAUAGCCCGCCGCGCCAUGCCCCUGGGGGGACCGAGGACCGC
rnacentral:rRNA from 1 species